CUUGACAUCCAGCGAACUUGGCAGAGAUGCCUUGGUGCCUUCGGGAACGCUGAGACAGGUGCUGCAUGGCUGUCGUCAGCUCGUGUUGUGAAAUGUUGGGUUAAGUCCCGCAACGAGCGCAACCCUUAUCCUUUGUUGCCAGCGAUUCGGUCGGGAACUCAAAGGAGACUGCCGGUGAUAAACCGGAGGAAGGUGGGGAUGACGUCAAGUCAUCAUGGCCCUUACGAGUAGGGCUACACACGUGCUACAAUGGCGCAUACAAAAGAAGCGACCUCGCGAGAGCAAGCGGACCUCAUAAAGUGCGUCGUAGUCCGGAUCGGAGUCUGCAACUCGACUCCGUGAAGUCGGAAUCGCUAGUAAUCGUGGAUCAGAAUGCCACGGUGAAUACGUUCCCGGGCCUUGUACACACCGCCCGUCACACCAUGGGAGUGGGUUGCAAAAGAAGUAGGUAGCUUAACCUUCGGGAGGGCGCUUACCACUUUGUGAUUCAUGACUGGGGUGAAGUCGUAACAAGGUAAGCGUAGCGAG
rnacentral:rRNA from 1 species